rnacentral:rRNA from 1 species
UACGUAGGGGGCAAGCGUUGUUCGGAAUUACUGGGCGUAAAGGCGCGUAGGCGGCAUGGCAAGUCAGGAGUGAAAGGCCUGGGCUCAACCGAGGAACUGCUUUUGAUACUGCCAAGCUAGAGUGCGGAAGGGGCAACUGGAAUUCCCAGUGUAGCGGUGAAUGCGUAGAUAUUGGGAAGAACACCUGAGGCGAAGGCGGGUUGCUGGGCCGACACUGACGCUGAGGCGCGAAAGCCAGGGGAGCAAACGGG